rnacentral:rRNA from 1 species
CCAAUAGCGUAUAUUAAAGUUGUUGCAGUUAAAAAGCUCGUAGUUGAAUUUCGGGAUCAAUGCGUCGGUCGUGCCUUCGGUACGUACUAGCGUCAUUGAUUCCUCCCUUCUGAAGAACCGUGAUGUCAUUAAUUUGGUGUUACGGGGAAUCAGGACUGUUACCUUGAAAAAAUUAGAGUGUUUAAAGCAGGCUAACGCUUGAAUACAUUAGCAUGGAAUAAUGAAAUAGGACGUUCGAACCUAUUUUGUUGGUUUCUAGGAUCGACGUAAUGAUUAAUAGGGAUAGUUGGGGGCAUUAGUAUUCAAUUGUCAGAGGUGAAAUUCUUGGAUUUAUUGAAGACUAACUACUGCGAAAGCAUUUGCCAAGGAUGUUUUCAUUAAUCAAGAACGAAAGUUAGGGGAUCGAAGACGAUCAGAUACCGUCGUAGUCUUAACCAUAAACUAUGCCGACUAGGGACCGGAUGAUGUUAAUUUUUUAAUGACUCAUUCGGCGCCUUACG